GUAGGGAAUCUUCCGCAAUGGACGAAAGUCUGACGGAGCAACGCCGCGUGAGUGAAGAAGGUUUUCGGAUCGUAAAGCUCUUUCGUUAGGGACGAACGUGCUCUUUGUGAAUAAUGAGGAGUAAUGACGGUACCUAAAUAAGAAGCCACGGCUAACUACGUGCCAGCAGCCGCGGUAAUACGUAGGUGGCAAGCGUUGUCCGGAAUUAUUGGGCGUAAAGCGCGCGCAGGCGGGAUAUCAAGUCUGUCUUAAAAGUGCGAGGCUCAACCUCGUGAGGGGACAGAAACUGGUAUUCUUGAGUGUCGGAGAGGAAAGUGGAAUUCCAAGUGUAGCGGUGAAAUGCGUAGAGAUUUGGAAGAACACCAGUGGCGAAGGCGACUUUCUGGACGAUGUCUGACGCUGAGGCGCGAAAGCUAGGGGAGCGAACGGGAUUAGAUACCCGAGUAGUCC
rnacentral:rRNA from 1 species